UACGGAGGGGGCUAGCGUUGUUCGGAAUUACUGGGCGUAAAGCGCGCGUAGGCGGAUGUGCAAGUCGGGGGUGAAAUCCCGAGGCUCAACCUCGGAACUGCCUUCGAUACUGCGGGUCUCGAGUCCGGGAGAGGUGAGUGGAAUUCCUAGUGUAGAGGUGAAAUUCGUAGAUAUUAGGAAGAACACCAGUGGCGAAGGCGGCUCACUGGCCCGGUACUGACGCUGAGGCGCGAAAGCGUGGGGAGCAAACAGG
rnacentral:rRNA from 1 species